GGUGGGGAUGACGUCAAGUCAUCAUGGCCCUUACGGCCAGGGCUACACACGUGCUACAAUGGUCGGUACAAAGGGUUGCCAAGCCGCGAGGUGGAGCUAAUCCCAUAAAACCGAUCGUAGUCCGGAUCGCAGUCUGCAACUCGACUGCGUGAAGUCGGAAUCGCUAGUAAUCGUGAAUCAGAAUGUCACGGUGAAUACGUUCCCGGGCCUU
rnacentral:rRNA from 1 species